AUAAAAGAAGUUUUGUAAAACCUUUGAAAAGUUUAAUAAAUAAGAAAUGAUGACUUGAUGUCGGUUUAUAAAACGAUUUGAAAGUAGUUUGUUUGAUAAGAACAAUUUUAAGUAUAUGAAGACCUUUGUUUGAAACGCGAUUCUAACAGCGUUUGAGAGGAAAUAUAAAGCAUGUAAGAUAGUUUGAUAAAGAGUUUUAACAUGUGAAAAUGUUUGUCGUAAACUAUUAUGGUUUUUCCAAAAGUUUGUUUCGUUUGUAUAGUAACUCUAGUGAAAUGCUCACUUGUUAUGUAAAGUGCAACUUUUGUAGUGAUAUAAAUGAACACAUAUAUUCAAAGUAUAAAUCAAUUGUUUGAUUCGUAUAUGUAUACCAACAUAUUUAAUUUUAAAAGACAAGAUGUUACUAUGAUAUAUUUUGCGUACGAAAGGUUCCAUGUAGUAGUUAUGAAUCACGUAUGAUUUACUUAGUAAAAAGAGUAUAUAGUGAAACUUUUAGGUUACACACGAUAAUAAUCGUGUGUUUACUUGUAUUCCCCCCCUUAAAAGUGUAUAUAAAAAGUAUUGAUAACACAUUUGAAAAUGUAGUUUAUAGGGGUAUGAACUCACNUCUAUAAGGGUAUGAACUCACUUGUUCGGUUUGAAGAGAGUGGGACUAGAGUCGAGCAGAACUUCAACCGCGGAAAGCUGCGUCUUCAAUCUUCACGGGGGUCUCGGUAGCGUAGAACCUUCGUCGGUGGCUCGAGUGUGGAAAUCGAGGGUGUCGGAAUGGUCUCUGGUACGUAAGAGUGUGUAAGAGUGAGUGAAAUUUAGAGAGAGGUGUCCUAAAAUCCGGAGCUUAUGCCUUCUAUUUAUAGAGCUGAGGGCGCGAGUACGCCGGGCGUACCACCGGAGUAUGUUGGGCGUACGCGUUACGCUAGGCGUACUUCGGUUAUGCUGGGCGUAACUUUGCGUCAUGGCUUACGACUCGAGUCUAGCUAGACGUAGAGCUGCAGCCGAUGGGACUCGACCCUGCACCUGAGUACGCUGGGCGUACUCCUGAAUUACGCUGGGCGUAAUUCUGGCUUCCAUCUUCAUAAUUCCGUAACUUUCGCGUACGGGCUCCGUUUUUGACGUUCUUUAUAUCCAUGCGAAGGUGCGAAAAUACUCUACAACUUUCAUUUAGACUCCGUCGGCUAAUUUUAGCUUUAUUUUUAAUUAUAUUUUAGUUAAUUGGCCGGGACUCGAUAACUUCGUUAAAAAAUCCAUAACUUCUUUAUCUGACGUCCGUUUUCGUUUGUCUUUUUACCAUCAAACUAUUAUUGUCGAGACCUUCAACUCUCGUUUAUGUUGUUUUGGCCAAAAGUCUCUCGAUCUCUAUUUCGAGUUUUUAGCUGUCUACUGCUAUAUCCGGAUCUUGGAAAAAUCAUAACUUCCUCAUACGAAGUCAGAUUUGGACGUUCUUUUUAUGCACGCUCACUGUUUUAUGAUAUCUACGACUUUCGUUUAGAUACCUAAGGCUAAAAAUUAUUGUAUUGAAACUUUGCGUUUAACGUCUAUCAGCGUUGCCGGUUUUUGCCGCGAAUCUUAGAUUGGUCAUAACAUCUUCGUUAUAACUCGGAUUUUAGUGUUCUUUAUAUGUACGAAAACCUUGAUAUGAUUUCUACUACUUUAUUUAACCCAAAUAAGAUUUUUAGGAAAGUUAUAUUUUGACUUAUAUUUGACUGGUGAUACAUUUUAUUGUUUCAAAAUAUCGGGUUGUCACAUUAUCCCCCUGUUAGAGGGAAUUUCGUCCCGAAAUUCGAGUUUAAGUGGUAUUAAUAAUCAUACUACGGAUAGAAGUUUUUAUUCGCUACUCAUGUUCUUAAGUGAACCUUGGUCUUCGCUUGGCAAUCCAGCGAACCUUUUACUAUCGGGAUACGACUUUGCUUCUUUUGUUUGACUUCAUUGGUAUGAUAACUUUUCUUUGUCAAAUGUGCGUUGAGUGUUUUUGUGGUCUAUGAGAGUAUUACACCUUGUACCCUACAAGUAAUGUCUCCAGAUCUUUAGAGCAAUUACCGCUGCUCAUGAGUCAAGAUCAUUUGUUGAAUAGUUAACUUCUUGUUUCUUAGGCUGUCUUUAGGUAUAGGUAGUGACUUUUCCUCUUGCUUAAGAACACAACCAAGCCCUUGGAUGGAUGUAUCGCAUUACACCACGAAAUAUUCUAUCCCCUUUUGGGAGGGAUAAUGUUGGUGCGAUGUAUCAGACUUACAUUAACGUUUGGAAUGCUCUUUCGUAUUUACAGACAAGUCUGGUGCUCUUCCAAGUGAGAAACUAGUCCUAAAGAAUCCCCUUCUGAGUUUGUUAAGCUCGCUUGGAAGUUCUCGCAUCUCGGUUGGAGUUAGAAAAUAAGGUGAUUUGGCUACUCGGGUAGCCCUUGGAACUAAGUCAAUUCUGAAUUCGACUUGACGCUGUGUUGGUAGUCUUGGUAGUCCUUCUGGAAAGGUGUUGGGAAAACCGCGUACUUCUUGGAUGUUACUAAAUGUCCUUCAUUUCUCGACACGUCUCGGUGAUGUGUGCGAGGAAUGCAUGAUAUUCCUUUCGUAAGCAUUUCUGAGCUUGCAUACACGACAUGAUGAGAGGGUUCGUACUUGGUUCGUGGCUGUAAAUAACUAGGGCUUCGUUGUUUAGGGAGGUUAGGACGAACUGCUUAAUCAAAGCACCUGAUGUCGGCUCGAUGUAGACUUAACCAACUUCUACUAAUUAUGAUGUCAAAACCUUAGGGUGGAUUAGCUAUCGUGAAGUCUUAAAAGAUAGUAUGACUACUCAUGAAUUAGGUAGAAGGAUAGGUAUUUCUAAGUUUAUUCUCACGGAAGCACGAUCAUUCGCAGUCUUGGGCAGUCUCCAUCCUGAAGUUCAUAGUAGAACUCAUACCUGGUUUAUCUAUCACAGUCUCGGGUAUGCGAGUCGUAUAUAUUUAAGGUUUAGAAGGUAGUAGAAUAAAUGAUUCUUCUUUAAGCUCACAUCCUAUCGAGGAAAAAGAAGUUAAAGUGGAAUUGUCAAUUCCAAACCUGUAGAACCUUGAUUAUAUAUCACCCUUGUGUAUACAUUCAUCAGCGACAGAUCAACCGUAUGGACCUUUGGAUUUGAACUUGACGUAUUGUACAAGUGGUACUUCGGGGAUUUCUUUGGAAAGGAAAAGAACUAUGAGGUACUCUAUACAUGGUUACUUCAGUGUUCUGGAAUGAUGGCUUCGUUGGAAAGACGAUUUCGAAGAAUGGGAUGUACGUAUGAAGGUGCUUUUGUGACGAUCAAAUUGAAUCAAGUCGUAUGAUAAUGUCGUAAUCAUAAAGAAACUUAAAGACAUUAGAUUGAACAUAAGAUGUUUACAGGCAAAAUACAACCGUGCAACCAUCAACAGAGUUACAGUACUUUAGAUUACUCCAAGACUAUUGUUGCGAAUAAGGUAUACUACAAAAGGCAAGUAUACGCAGCACGAGCAUCCCUAUACCGACGGGAUCCCGCAAAAGAUAAGACUCUGAUUGCACUAGUUUUGGAUGGUUUAUAAGUCUGUUACAACGAAACACCUAAAUUACAUUAACAUGGGUUCGGAGUAGGUUCUCCUGCAGCUGUGAUCCUGAGAAUCCUACCGUCUGUGCUAGAGCUCUUUGUUAUAGGGCAAUCCUUCUUGAGGUGCCCUAUCUCCCCGCAUUGGUGACAUGACUGGCUGGUACUAGCCUUGGUGGCGGGAGUGAGGUUUUUAGCCAGUGUUAUGUGGACACGAGUGCCUUCCUCAUUACACCACCUUGGAAAUUGCUUCCUAAAGCGUUCUGCAGGAGUUGCCACUUGUUGCUGUGGCAUGGCAAGUCUUUGGGAUCUCUUGCGCUCCUUUAGGGAUUGAUGAUAUCGUCUCUUCCUUUCGGUCUUACAGCUUCACAAGUCUAUGACUGUUGCCAUUUGUUGGUUUCCCGGUUUGGUACUACCAUCGGAACUCUCAACUCCUUUGUCGGUCUUGCUUGUGUUGCCUGAGUUGAUGUGUGUAAGGAAAGUUGUCACUGCAGUGGCUACUGCAGCUUGUAAUGUAGCGGCGUCGAUAUGGAGGAUAGGGGUAUCGUUGCUCGGCUGAUCGUUUCCGGAUGACGACAUGAUUCUGUAACACGAAAGAUAAAGAUUUUGUGAGCGAUUCUGGUUGACUCUAGAUGUACUUCGAUUAUUCAAGUAAAGAGUAAGACUAUGUCCUAGAAAGUUUGACCUACAUCCCUAUGAUGUAGUCCUAGUACGGAUUGGAAGUAUGUUUGCGGAGGUUUGACCUACAUCCCUAUGAUGCAGUCCUAGUACUGAGUAGAAGUAUGUUUGUAAAAUGGUCUUAAGACGUUUGUCGUUCAAGCCGAGGUAUCGUUGGUUGGUGAAUAACAUGAUCCGACCACUAAAAGAGACUUGGAAAUGUCUCCGGAGUUAAAUUACUAUAGUCCAAUGACUUGACUAAAGCAUGUUUCAGAUAGACUCCAACGAAGGUAUGAUGAGGGUUUUUGAACAAAGAGUGACACCGAAGUUAGCCGAAUUUCAAUAUCGAUAUUCAUGACGUACUAAGUUUGGGAAAAUUGAUCUUGAAGAAGGUCAUACAUCAUAUCAUGAGUAGAAAGGUUUUGGCCGCAUAAAGGCCUAACUAACAGUACUUACAGUAUAAGAUAGCUACAUAGAAAAAUGCUACAUAGGACAUUCACAGGUAAACAAUUCCUUUAAACAAGGAAGGGAAAUAAAGUAUUUCUUACUGGCGGCGUUCAUCCUUCUGGUGAACACUUAGCUCAGCCAAUUGAUGUUCCAUUAUCAAGAAGGUGUCUUUCGUACAUUCUCUGGCGUACUUGUAUCUCUAUGACUUCGGCUCGUGUUUUAGCUAAUGCUUGCAGCAGGGUCUCAUGGUCUCUCUCAGAUCUCUCACGAGUGUUUUCAAGAUGAUUGGUGUAGAUGAUGUGCAUUAUUGUAUUAGCAUUUAACCUCUUCGGUAUAUUGGAGAGUUGUCCUGCCCUGAAUUUCAUUUCAAGUAACUCUAUGGACCAGGAUUGGUAAAACUUUGCCUGCUAAGCUCCCCUUAAGUUGUAGCAGUUUCGGUCUCCUUUAAACGGCAUAGGUUGAUUUUAUUUUUCUCUUCGCUCUAUGUUUUCAGGCAUUCUGCCCAAGGAAGCGUCGAGCCAUGAAGAGCUGGACGAGGGUUAGGGUUUGAAUUGGGAGCUACCGGGGGUAGGUUCUCAUCCCCGAGUUCGGAGUUAUCAUCAUCCGAAAGGUCAUCAGCAUGGUGAUCAUUCAAAAGGGAUUGGAUGAUCAUUCUCUGGUUCUUCUCUGAACCAUCUAGCAUUGCCUUUGUUCGGGAAGUACGGGUUGUCGUGGGGAUGGGGUCCAACUAUGUUAUCUAUACGGUAAUUGGGGUAUAAGAAUCUAACACAUAAGUAGUUUAUAGUAAUACACAAAUUACUCCAAUAGUGUUUUAGGUUUAUGUUCUACUGUUCUCAUUGUGGUAUUGUGGGUAAGUUUUUAGACUUGUUGCAACUCACAACCACACUUAGGCACAUGCUAGUCAACCCUCAGAUAAUAUAGUUGAUCAGGCUAUAUCAUCCCAGUUUUGAAUAUAUGUCUCUAAGUCUACUUGUGUUGCCCAACAAUCGUAAUACUUUUGUUCUGUCCUAGUGACACUGAUUUUAAUAUGAAUGCAGGUACGUAUACUUACUUAAAUAUUUUAUUAUUUAAAAGUAUAGACUCUUUAUCAAAGUAUUUUUAAUCCCUAUUGUAUAUAUAGUUUGUAUAUCUUUUAUGGGUUGAUAUACUCAAUUCACUAUAAACAAUGCUCUGAUACCAAUCUGUCACACCCCAAAACCAAGAACGGCGGAAACGUUCUGGGGCGGAGGACGUCAUGUAAUGUAUCACAACAAUGCAAAGUAGUAAACAAGCAACAACAUCAUCCAUUGCAUUAAUAGUAUAAUUUUAAUUACAUUUGAGUUCUUUCAUAGUAUAAUUCUACAAAAUGAAUAUUACAAAAUAAAAGAUGAGUCUAGACGGCUCCGUCUUCACAAGACCUGGCAGUCGUACCUGUCUAUUUGUGACCUGAGAAUACAAGUUAUUUUGAAAGCGAGUAUCAGCAAUAAUGCUGGUGAGUUCAUAAAUAUUUAUGUGACUUUGAUUUGUAAAACUGUAAAGAAAGACCUGUAAAUGUUUGAAGGAAUAUUUGUACCAAUGAACAUGUUUGUAAGUAAUUGUAAACGUUUGAAAACUCUAGAAAAUCCCAUAUUUUCUACUAGUAUAAAAAGUAGCCUUUUACCAAGACCCGACUCUUUUGAAUGUUUGCUCUUAGAGAUCCAAUACUUGCCCAUAUGUGGGUGGUAGUUUAAAAGUCAUAAAAUGAACUACCAUGGUGUUUUUCAUGUCUAAAAUAGUAGAUUUGUGUACAUAUAUAAUCGCUAAGGUAUUUGAUAACCCCGUAAAUCAACGUGUUUUUAAUACUCUAUGUGAGUUUUAUAACCAUGCUAAUUACCCAUACUGCCUGUAACAACGUUCUUCGGGCGUUGGAAUGUUAUGACAUUUGUCACCCUAGACCUGCCGGCUAACUAUAGCUAACAGUUUAGGUACGGGAUUGGCAAUCCCGUAUAGAUCUAUACACAAGUAUCACGCUCCCCUACAAGGGAUUAUGGUAUAUAAUACAGGACUUAAUAAUGCAUACUCGAAAGUACAUGAAAUGUCUCAAAAAACCUAGUAUAAAACAGAUUUACGUAUGAAAAUGUCCAUUUGCUCUUGUAUAUGAAAAUAUAUCUUUGAUAUGGUACUUGUAGUAUGUAAAAUUUCAUGAAGAUCUAGUAAACUAUCUUAUGUAAUCGUAUCUCUUGUAAUUGUAUGUCUUGAAAUUCUAUGCCUUGUAAUUGUAUGUAAUCGUAUCUCUUCAUAAAGUAUAUAAUGUAUUUGUGUAGACUCAUAAAUAAACUGACUCUUGUGUGAUUCCUUGUACUUGGAAUGGUAAUUAGUAUAUCCUAACUAUACCUAUUAUAGUUACUAGUAUCGUACGUGUAUAAUCGAAGUAUGUCUUUGCUACCUAAAGGUACUGAACCAAUUGAUGGAAACUUUUAUCAAUGUAUACUUGAUAUAUAUAUAUAUAUAUANAUAUAUAGGCGUGCACUUGACAAUAAAAAUAUAAAAGAAGUUUUGUAAAACCUUUGAGAAGUUUAAAUAAAUAAGGAAUGAUGACUUGAUGUCAGUUUAUAAAACGAUUUGAAAGUAGUUUGUUUGAUAAGAACAAUUUUAAGUAUAUGAAGACCUUUGUUUGAAAUGUGAUUCUAACAGCAUUUGACAGGAAAUAUAAAGCAUGUAAGACAGUUUGAUAAAGAAUUUUUAACAUGAGAAAAUGUUUGUGGUAAACUAUUAUGGUUUUUCCAAAAGUUUGUUUCGUUUGUAUAGUAACCCUAGUGAAAUGC
rnacentral:lncRNA from 1 species